UACAGAGGGUGCGAGCGUUGUCCGGAAUCACUGGGCGUAAAGGGUUCGUAGGUGGCUUGCUAAGUCAGACGUGAAAUCCCUCAGCUUAACUGGGGAACUGCGUCUGAGACUGGUGAGCUUGAGUGCAGGAGAGGAACGCGGAAUUCCAGGUGUAGCGGUGAAAUGCGUAGAUAUCUGGAGGAACACCGGUGGCGAAGGCGGCGUUCUGGACUGCUACUGACACUGAGGAACGAAAGCCAGGGGAGCAAACGGG
rnacentral:rRNA from 1 species